AUUUAUUAAAUAUUAUUUAUUUUAUUUUAAAAAUUAGGGUAAAAAGGGAAAAUGGAGGAGUGGAUUCCCACUCCCAAGUCCCACUUGUUGCGUAAAUUAGCAAGUGUACUAGUCGGCACAAGUAAUAUAAUGAAGAGUAGAGUAUCAUCCCACAGAGAUUGUAUAUCCUAUUAGUUACUGAAAUUAUUCCAACUCUAAUUUAUUUGAACAAUCGAAUAAAUGAAUUUAGAUUAAAAUAAAAUAAAAUAAAACAAUUAAAAAUUAAAUAAAGAUGCAGACAGUAAUAGAAAUCACCAAGAGAUUAAGACACUAGGACAUCCGAUUUCACCAUAACCAAUCCAAUUUAAUCCUCCAUCUAUGCUAUUAAAAUUUAUUACCCAUGUUGACAGUGAAUUUUCCUAAUUUAUUCAAUAUCCUCUCUCGAGUAAUAUAAAAAAUAUCUCCACAUAUCAACCCACUAUAUCUCUAUGUGAAUUUAAAUAUGCAAAGAUUCAUUAAGCUCUAUGAAAAUUCUUAGAUAAAACUGCACGAAUCACGUUGGCACAUCUCUGUCUUUCGUUCAAUUCAUGGCAUCCAUUACACAGAGCAAAAAUACAUAAAUCUCCUCUCGGUCUCAUUAUGUAUCCUCAAAUCAUUCAAAUAUUAGUCAGAUAUUUAAAAGCAUUAAGCACAAUAAUAAACACUCAAUCAUGGAAUAAUUAAUUAAAAAUAACAUAGAUUCAUGGAAUUAAAUCUUCAUAGUUAGGCUACAUCGUAGCCCUAGUAAAAUAAAUUAGUUCAUGGAAAUAUAAAGAGAAUUCAUUAAUUUAAUUGGAAACAUUCAAGCAAGAUAAUAGAGAAGAGAGAAAGAAAAACUCAAGAAUUAAUGUGUCUUCCUUCUGCUCUAAAUUAUUCCUGCUGCUCUUCGGUUUUUGUUCAAGACUUCCGGCUGCUGCUCUAUUAUUUCUUUUCUCUUGGCUUCCUAUUAUCUUCCUUGUGCGGCUGCCUUCUUUCCCUUUUAUAAUGUUGUGGUUUCUUCCAAAUCCUUUUCAUUAAAGGAUUUCAAAACAAAACAAAUCCAGCCCACGAAUCCUUAAAUCAAAAGGAUUUUUAAAACAAAACAAUUCUAGCCACCUUUUAAGCCCAUCCACGUGACUUGUAAAGUUUAAUUGGCCAAUUUGUAAAUUAAUUCUUUAAUGCUCCCCAACUUGCUGCCAUAUUUGUCAACCAAAUAUUCAAUGCUCCCCCCACGUGUUGCAUGCAUGAUGAUUAAAUUCAAUCAUCCUUUAUUUGGCUUUUUAUUUCUUUCCCUCUUGCUUCCACAUUAUUUUCAUUAUACUUCAAUUUAUUUUCUCUUUAAGUUUCUUUUUUCAUAAAUAUUCCCAAUAUUCCUACAAUGACAAAAUAUAAAAAUUAAGAUAAAAAUUAAUAUAAUAAAAUAUAAUUUAAGAUAAAAUUAAGUUAUGGAAGCAUUAAAAUAAUAGAUAAAUUAUGAACAUAUCACCACCUCCUCCCACGGAGUGGGAUUCCCACUCCCCCCUUAAAAAUUACAAGUAAACACUGGAGUGGGAGGAAUCCACACCCCUCACUCCCACUCCAUAAAGUAAACACUACCUAAGUUCGUGAAACUAGUAUAAAUUGCAUUACAUUUGAAUCUAAAACUUCGUAAUUUAUAUUUUAUCAUUGUAGGUCAAAUAAGAAAAAGCUAUGACAACUCAAUAAAUAUUAAACUAUUUUUUUGAAUCAAAAUAUUAAACCAAUUAUAAAUUGAAUUUCUAUAAAAUUGUUUAACUUCAAAACAACAAACAACUAUAGUUAUUGCCAUUAAAUUAAUCAACAAGUCAUUUAUAUCAUCAAGGACUUAAAUACAUCUAUUCCAAAUAUGAAUAAAGUUUGGUGAUACAUAGCACCAUAUCCUUUGAAAAAUGAAAGAGACCGAUUGCAGAUAAUAUAAUAAAGUAAGAGACUAAGAGAAAUUGUCAACCUUUUUUUUCAUACUAAAAUUGAUAUAU
rnacentral:lncRNA from 1 species